AAUCUCGAUUCUCCUCUUCUGGAAGGUAGCUACGCCAACCACUAUACCACCAACACCCUGGCAAGAUUCUACUCUUCUGUAUCCUGGCUGUGGUAUGGAUUACACAAAUCAUGAGUUAAAACGCACAGAACUGUAUCCCCUUCCCCCCAAAACUAAAAGCAAUUCAUAUAUAACUAUAAAAAUAUUUUUUACUGAAAAAAGUUCUAGUAAAAGAAAUAAAAGGCACUACAUUUCCUGAAUUAUUGAGUCUGACUAGUUAGAUGGUGAUCACUUAACCCAGUAAUCUCAUCACCCCCAGGAAAGUGGAGGCAGCAACUUCUUUUCCCAGUCACAUGGCAGUGGCAACUUCUCGGCCACAGAGUCCUUGUGAAGACAGUUUGGUAAUAAUGCAUGAAAACACAAGUGACAAAUGAGAACUGAGAGUUAGCAGUAGCAGCUCCAGUUUCACCCCCUACCUGAACAGACUCCUGGGAAAAGAGCAAAACAGCUCUCCCAGGAAGCUCCCUUCUCUCAUUUCUGUGCAGCUACUGCAAGAUGACACCCAGUCUUGCACUUGAUUACUGUGUAGCUUUGCCUAAGAUUAUCUUGCAGCUCACCAAGAUUCAAAGUUCCUCCUGGAGCCACAGAAUCCUGUACAGCGCUAAAGUCCUGGCCCAGAUUGCAGAUGAAACCUCCACUAUCAUUGAGAAGCCAUAGCAAAGAGUCUUUCUACAAACAACAUGGGAUUAUGAAAAAAAUUAGCCCUGCAAUUUGUGGCUGAUUUCAAAGACCCUGAAGAGGCAAUGGAUGCCCAGGAAAGCUGUGAUGCCUGCAAAAGCAGACACCUUGGAAGAGGUAGUGAAAAGAUGUCAAAGAGUUCUUUAAACAUAUAUAUACUGAGGGAUUAUUGAUCACUGAGUUUGAGGAAGAUUAAAGUGAAGACCUGGAAGAGCAUCAUAUCGUCCCCUGGACAUCACUGGUUUAAGAUAGUAUAAGCAAAGCUAUCCCUAUUCUUAAUAUGAAGCCGUAGGAUGGAAAGUCUUGCUUUUAAGAAUGGCCUCAUGCCUUGAUAAUACCCUGCAAUGAAAUGUCUGCCCAUAAACUCUCAGUGUAAACGAGAUCCCCUGGGGAAUUUUUUCAUCCUGAUGUGUCACCAACUCCUUUGAAGAUUUACCAGGAUCCAGGGACAUCUGCAGCAGUAGCUUCUCAAGUUUUGUCAGUUCCAGGUGUCUACCUUACUUGGCAGGUAACAUUACAGGUAAUAUUCUUAAUUUAUUGUAAUCUUCAUUUGAAUUUUCCCUGGGAAAACCAUUUAUUGCUAUAUGUUAUUUGCUGUGCUGUACUGCUAAUAUAACGAUGCAUGCAAACUUCACCUGCUGUUGAAUACACAGCAAAUGUUGGUUAACAGUGUAUUAGUUGUUUUGUGAUUGAGAAGCAAUGUUUUAAACAUUUCAUAUUCCUUUAGAGUUUGUCACUAACAUAUAGGCAUUUCGUUGUUUUUCUUUGUCUUAUAAGUUGGUUAGAUAUUGACAUAUACAUUUCUGUUGACGUAUUCUGUGUGAUAAAUUUGCCCUUUUAAAAUAAUGGAGGAAAGACUAUUAUUUUGUUGCUUUUGACUUUCAAGAAUGCAUUAACUAAUGCUAGGUGGGAGGUGCCUGUGUGGUGUUUUACUUUGAUUGUGAAAUAAAAGUCAAGUUGGAUAAA